rnacentral:rRNA from 1 species
GAUGAACGCUGGCGGCGUGCCUAAUACAUGCAAGUAGAACGCUGAAGGAGGAGCUUGCUCUUCUGGAUGAGUUGCGAACGGGUGAGUAACGCGUAGGUAACCUGCCUGGUAGCGGGGGAUAACUAUUGGAAACGAUAGCUAAUACCGCAUGACAACAGUUAUUGCAUGAUAACUGUUUAAAAGGGGCAACUGCUCCACUACCAGAUGGACCUGCGUUGUAUUAGCUAGUUGGUGAGGUAACGGCUCACCAAGGCGACGAUACAUAGCCGACCUGAGAGGGUGAUCGGCCACACUGGGACUGAGACACGGCCCAGACUCCUACGGGAGGCAGCAGUAGGGAAUCUUCGGCAAGGGACGGAAGUCUGACCGAGCAACGCCGCGUGAGUGAAGAAGGUUUUCGGAUCGUAAAGCUCUGUUGUAAGAGAAGAACGAGUGUGAGAGUGGAAAGUUCACACUGUGACGGUAGCUUACCAGAAAGGGACGGCUAACUACGUG